UGUGGAUAAUGGAUGGAGCCAUGGAGGGAACGGGUGGUUGUAUCUUUAUGGCGAUGAUGAGGGCACUAGCAAUAGCUUCAACUUGUCCAGGCAGGAUGAAUUUUAAGCUGAUAAUGCCGUCAAGUUCAAGGCCAAGUUAUUUGUUGAAAUUAAAAUUGAAGCCCAGUGGUGCAGCUCAGUGUGCACCAGCUCCACCUUCACAAGAGGUUGAUGUGGGGAUAUUAUGUGAACCUUGCAAUGGCAGAGGAUGGCUGCUCUGUGAUUUUUGUCAAGGACAAAAAACCAAUGUCAAAGUUCGAAAUAAUCGCAUUUAUCGUCGCUGUCCAACUUGUAGAGCCGUUGGAUAUGUGUUGUGUUCGAAGUGCAAAGUUUUCAAAUGUGUGACCUUCCCAAAUUAUGAUGAUGGUGAGGAUUUAGUCCUCUAACCAUCAGCUUAUGUAUUUUUGGAGUUGACAUUCAUUGUUUGCAGAAGCUCUCAAGCAGGGUGAAUAGAUGCAUAUGUGGCAGACUGGCACUAGGUCUCUCAAAAUGUUGAAUAUACAAGCUUUCUGACUUAGUCCCUUAAAGAAACCAAAAUGUCAUUAAUUUCUAAAUCUAGUAUACUGCAAGCAUUUAUGAAUUCUGGAUGCUUUGUGAUUGAAAACUGUGAAGUAUGGCUUGUAAUGUUUCUGUUUAUUGGAUCCAACUUUGGCCUUUUGACUUGGGCACAUCAUUAUGCACAAAAUAGAGUGGAGAAGCACCUUUGUAGCGUUUAGUAGUAUAGAGAAGGUUGGUGAGUCAUGGUUAACAUGUGAUGCCUGUAGUUAGAAAUCAAUGAUGCAUGUGCAUUGAUUGAUCAAGGUUGGAAUUGUCCUAUUUUAAUGCUUACUGUUACUUGAUCUGAG